CUCUACCAUGCCACUUUGACAUGAUGAUGAUGAUGAUGGAGCUGUGCUGAUGGGCAUAGGCCAAAUUUGGCAUCCAUUGAUUUGAUCCUACGAAACAUACAUAGCCACCAGCGCUCACUCCCUUGAUCCUACUGUCAUUUUACUGUCGAGAACCAGAGAGAUGGCCUUUGCUACAACUAAUUUAUCAUCGUCUGACCUGUUCAGCCAGGUGCUUCCAGAAUUCUUUGUAAAUUCAUUGGUGAUUCGAGUCCUUAUAAAACAGAGCAGAAGAACCUCGAAUCAGAAACUGGGCAAACUUCACAAGUUGGACCCCUCUCAACUGCCAUAGGAAAGAUAUGGGAGACUACUGUUUAAGGGGAGUCAGCCUUCUAAAGUGCUGCUGUGUUUCUAUCCUCUCCCGAGGUCUGGACAGCAGAGCAUUCAAUUUUGGAGUUCCUAAACAGCAGCUUUAAAUACCCAUUAGGAAAUUACCUGUUAGUGUGGCAUUUUAGACUGCUAAGUCUAAGCUAAUAGAUUACUUUGGGAUAAUGGAUUUGAUAUUUAUAGGGGCUUCUUAAUACCCUGCUUUGAUUCUUUACCAGGGAUGAGUGAGCUUCAGGGCUCCAUCCUUGAACAGAAAGUACAGCGUGGGUGGUCUCUUGAAGGGGCUGCGGCUGACAGGCCCUCUGUCGGAGGGAGAUGGCUCAGGCUUAGAUACAAAAACAACUCUUUCUUUCGGGGAGUAAGAGAUCUGUGGGCAGAGGUAGUAUCAGCCACACAGCCACAGUGGGUGACGGAGGCACGGCAAGUCUGAUGGCCUCGAGGUGACAGGAAGAAGAAUGCCCAGGCAACCACCAGCAGGAAAAUCCAAGUACCAGACAUGAGAAACCUUCUUUCAAGAUGUUGAUCAGGGGAGUCCAAGAGACCAUGUCCAACAAUGUAGGCUAUUGCUGUUGCCUUUGGCUGCUUCCCAGAAUUAGAAGCAUCACAGGAAGAGCAUGACCCCCGGUGCCUGCUGACCCGAGGAAGAGGAGAGACUCAUGAAGCCUGGAUCACAGAGCAGCUGAGCCCAAGCACUUGGGCUGGUCCCCAGCCACUCUGUACAAGCAUAUGCAGGUCAACAUUGCUCACUAUUGUGGGUGACUGAGUUUUGUAAUGGUUUGCUAUGCAUUAUACCAUGUUACAGCUGACGGAUGCAGAGCCUUUGGAGGAGUAGAUGGUGAAAAUUCUUAAUGGGCUGUGGACAAUGCUUGCAAAAAUGUCAACUUAAUGUAAUGACAUAGAACUUAACAUGUGUAAGAACUCAAAAAAGUGUUUGUAUUUGAUGUAUUUCAAUAGAAUAAUCAUAUCUAAUGUUCAGAAUAUCUGGCCUUCUCGUUGAUAUCUUCCUCUUAGCUGACAAGUUCCUUUAUAUCCUUUCUGUAGCCCUUUCUAACAAAGUCUUACCCUUUAUUGCCCUGUCAGGAUUUGGCAUUUAUCUAAGAUUUAAUUCUAGGUUGAACUAUAAAACUACCUAGAUUCUACAGUGAACAUUUUUGAUACAUUUUUUUGGGGGCUACAUUCCUACCUAUGCACCCUGGCAAACUCAUUUUAAUUCUAAAAUUUAUAGUUAUAUUGUCAUGCAUGUAUGACAUGUAUGUAGAUGUAUUUGUGACACGUGUAUAGGAUGGAGAAAACCCCUGUGGAGUUGGAUCUCUUUUUCUACGCUCCCCCUUGGGUUCUUGUUAAACUUAUAUAGUAAGUGUCUUUACUUGCGGAGCCUUCCCAUUGGGCUCUCCCUCCAUUUUAUUGUAUUUUUUUAUAUAUAGUUAAAAAUAAAUGGCAGGUGCCAGUGCACUUCACCAACAAAUGAGCAUGCUCAUAGCUCCGCGGAGUUUUCUCAGACCCUUUCCAGUCCAUUUUACCCCUCUGCCUGAAGGCACACACUCUUCUGAUUUCUUUUCAGUCUGUUUUAGAACUUCAUCUAAUAGGACUAUGCACUGUGUGGUCCCCCUAUGACCAGCUUCUUCCUUGUCGACUAACACUUCUUUUUGUUCAUGAGUCAUCUUUGUCAGGAUCUACACAUUGAAUUUUCCCAUGAAAACUGAACAUGGUGAUGUAAAAGACCUGAGUAAUAGUCUGAUGAGCCCCUGGUCAUUACCUGUCCUCUCCUCCCAUCCAGGGCCACCAAGGAGACAAAGAUUAGGUAUUUCAAACUACUUAGGGAGAGAUUUACAAUGGCAAACAAUUAACACUGUCUGCUUGAGACUCUCUCAUGUUGGCCUCAUUCUCAAAUGAAUAAUUGAGACAAGAUCAUCCAAGGCAGCUCUUAACCUUAAAACUUGGGGCUUCUAUGAUGUGUACCCAACUACACUAAGCAACUUUAAAUAGCAUACUUGAACUAAAUGGCCCCCCAAAGCAGGCAACCCUCUUUCUUCUUUUAUGCUGUUGUUUGCCUGCCCUGUCUCUCCAUUUAGGGUUAAAAAGUCUUCCAAAACUGCAGAGAGAAUUUAUUGACAUCUAUCUCUUGGGCACAUCUAUCUCUUUUGAUUUAGUGACUUCAGGAAGAUGGAAGGCCUGACCAAGCUCUUAGGAUUAAUUGAGCUUUCCCCUGGGGAGGCUGCAUGCAGUAUGUACCCCAGGGCUCCACCAUAGUGGGAGCAAACUGACUUAGUGGGAGCAGUUGAAGAACUUGGCCGGUUGUCUUCCUUACUCUCUUCUGGUGGUCAAUCAGCAUAUAGGGUGGGGCAGGGAAUGAAGUAUAAGGUAAGUGUGACAGAUUUCAGAAGGGCUAAGUUCCAGGCUAAGUUUGCUUAACUGUUUUAGUUCUUAGACUCAACUUGAGGUUUUAAAAUUGUCCCAACUAUAAAAAUAAAAGCUACUCUCUAGAUGCCAGUCUUCAUUUCCCAGAAUCCUUCUGUCUGGGGACUUCCAGUGUCAUUGGAGAUCAGGCGACUUGUUUUAAGGGACACAAAGCUGGUUUGUGUCUAUGUUUAAAGACCAGGACAAGGGCCAGACCCCAUGACCAUUAACAAAGCUGCCAGUCUGCUUGGUCAUCCUAUGGGAUGGAGAUUUUUUCCUUCACUUGUCCUAUCUACUGAUUCCUGUCUGCAGAUCCUGUGUGGCUGCCCACCUACACCAGCAUCACAUAGCUGGACCUCCGCCUUCAGCUUCCUAUAGUUCUGGGCUAGGCAGCUUUGCUUGCCAACCUGAGCCCAGCUCACAGACAUGGUGCUGGACUUAUGGGUCUCAUCUUCCAGGCCCUGAAGUGAAGUGAAGCUUUAAGUAGAGGGCUUAUCUAAGCAGCCCUGGUCAAGGUGUGGUCCUGACCAUCACUGUUCUGUCAGGCUGACUGACAAUUGAAAGUCUCUCUGGGGGAGAGAGUUUCCCUUCUGGCUGAGCCAGCCUUCAGGGUUUCUCUUCUCCCCCAUAUGAGAUUCCUGGAGAACAUAAUCCCAGUUUCUUGGUUCCAUUGUCUUAAUAACAUAAGAGCCGAUGUGAAGGAUGUAUGUCUCCUUAGAACAGUUGUUCUCAACCUUCCUAAUGCUGGAGCCCUUUACUAUAGUUCCUCAGAAUGUGAUGACCUCCAAUUAUAAACUUAUCUUCUUUGCUCCUCCAUAACUAUAAUUUUGCUACUGUUGUGAAUCAUAGUGUAAACAUGAUAUGCAAGGUGUCUGAUAUAUCACCCCCAAAGUGGUGGUGACUCAUAGGUUGAGAACUACCUUAGAGUAUCUUCCUUCCUUAGAGUAUCUUCCUUCCUUAGAGUAUCUUCCUUCCUUAGAGUAUCUUCCUUCCUUAGGGUAUCUUCAUCCCUGCCAGGCAUUUACAGAAACAGCUGUCUACAAACUCUCACUCCUCUCAUCUUCUGUCUGGUAGUCUAGUUUGGUUCUGAGGCACACAUUUACUGGAGUGUACUCAGGGCUUCUGGGAGAGCUGGUGGAAUCCCACCUCAAAGGCAGCUCUCAGUGAACACAAGCCACUAUGGGAGGACAAAAGUCACUCGGCCCAGUCAUGCCUAUCCCUAUAGUUAAUAGGAAAUUAGCAUAUAUGUACAUGAGCUCCAGAGGAGACCAGGAUAACCUCCAAGCAGACCACAGCCCAAACUGCUGACUUAUUCCCAUAAGAUAAUAAAUGUGUAUUGUUUUGAGUCUGUGAAUUUGGGCAUGGUUUGUUACAUGGCAUUAUUGAGUUAACUGAUAACUAAGACAUGUUUUACCAAAGACAAUGUCUAGGUAGCUAAAAGAAGUUGAAUGUG